rnacentral:rRNA from 1 species
CCUACGGGAGGCAGCAGUGGGGGAUAUUGCACAAUGGGGGAAACCCUGAUGCAGCGACGCCGCGUGUGGGAAGACGGUCCUCUGGAUUGUAAACCACUGUCCCCAGGGACGAAGAUGACGGUACCUGGGGAGGAAGCUCCGGCUAACUACGUGCCAGCAGCCGCGGUAAUACGUAGGGAGCGAGCGUUGUCCGGAAUUACUGGGGGAAAAGGGAGCGUAGGCGGGGAUGCAAGUGGGGUGUCAAAACUACCGGCGGAACUGGGAGUCGCACCCAAAACCGCAGCUCUUGAGUGAAGUAGAGGCAGGCGGAAUUCCUAGUGUAGCGGUGAAAUGCGUAGAGAUUAGGAGGAACACCAGUGGCGAAGGCGGCCUGCUGGGCUUUUACUGACGCGGAGGCUCGAAAGUGUGGGGAGCAAACAGGAUUAGAUACCCCAGUAGUC